rnacentral:lncRNA from 1 species
GGACUGUUUGUGACCAAUAGAUAGCUUCUGUACUUAGCACUUGAUAAGGCGUGGGUGGAAUGGGCUGCAAGGGCCGGUAAAUAGUAGAGGCCCCAUUCUUGAAGCGGUUCCAUAUGUUAAACCAAAUGAGAAAGGUCACUGGUCUUCAACGGUCCAAUCAGUUGAACUGACCUCGGAUCUAAUUUUGAAAACACUAUUCUCAAUAUCAUUUUUAUAUUUGUAAAAUGUUAUAUAAAAUAAUUUCCUCCUACAUCUCAUUAUCAUACAAAGAGGUAAAACAAUAAAAUAAGUCAUUAUAGUUU